ACAAAAGGGAAAAAAAUAGAAAGAGAGAGUGGGGACGGCCACGAAGAAAGGAAUAAAAAGAAAAGGAAAGGAGAGGAGAGGAAGCCAAAUAGUGGAUGGUGGCGACGAUGAUGAAGGCGGCAAUGGAUGGUGGCGACGACGACGAAGGCGACAAUUUAAGCCUCAUCUUCAUUUGUUUGGUUAAUAGUUUCUAAUGUUGAAGAUUGAAGGAGAAAUAAAAAACAAUGAUGAUGAUAGCACAAGGUUCGAAGCCCAUGAAAAUAGUUUUUUUUUUUAUUUUGUAUGUAUAUGUAACAACAACAAAAAAUUAUAUAUCUAUAUAAUAUUAAUAUUAAAGAGAUUUAGAAUAUCUUACUUGUAUUUUGUAUUUUCUUCUUCUCUUACUAUAUUACUUCUCUUCUA